GGGCAGCAGAUCCGUGUCCCGUCCCCGAAGUGCCCACAUGUUUGUGGCUUGGACAAAUUCCAGGAGGAUUAGCAGCUCUGGAAUCGACUCUUGGUAGACAAUUGGGCCAUUUAUUUGGAUCUGAUUCUGAAAAAUGUUUUAUUUCCUUAAGGUGUUUUUGUGUGUCUCCGUAAAUCCUUCCCACCCAGUUUCACUAGAACUG
rnacentral:lncRNA from 1 species